GGCGGCGUGCCUAACACAUGCAAGUCGAACGAAGCGUAUUGCCGGAGAUCGUUGAAGGGAGAUACGACUUAGUGGCGGACGGGUGAGUAAUGCGUGAGCAACCUGCCUUUCAGAGGGGGACAACAGUUGGAAACGACUGCUAAUACCGCAUAAUGUACAUUAGAGGCAUCUUUGAUGUACCAAGGGAGCAAUCCGCUGAAAGAUGGGGCUCACGUCUGAUUAGCUUGUUGGCGGGCAACGGCCCACCAAGGCGACGAUCAGUAGCCGGACUGAGAGGUUGAACGGCCACAUUGGGACUGAGAUACGGCCCAGACUCCUACGGGAGGCAGCAGUGGGGAAUAUUGGGCAAUGGGCGAAAGCCCUGACCCAGCAACGCCGCGUGAAGGAAGAAGGUCUUCGGAUUGUAAACUUCUUUUAUGAGGGACGAAGGACGUGACGGUACCUCAUGAAUAAGCCACGGCUAACUACGUGCCAGCAGCCGC
rnacentral:rRNA from 1 species